CCUAUGGGAGGCAGCAGUGGGGAAUAUUGGACAAUGGGCGAAAGCCUGAUCCAGCCAUGCCGCGUGUGUGAAGAAGGCCUUCGGGUUGUAAAGCACUUUCAGUGGGGAAGAAAGCCUUGGGGCUAAUACCCUCGAGGAAGGACAUCACCCACAGAAGAAGCACCGGCUAACUCCGUGCCAGCAGCCGCGGUAAUACGGAGGGUGCGAGCGUUAAUCGGAAUUACUGGGCGUAAAGCGCGCGUAGGCGGUCUGAUAAGCCGGUUGUGAAAGCCCCGGGCUCAACCUGGGAACGGCAUCCGGAACUGUCAGGCUAGAGUGCAGGAGAGGAAGGUAGAAUUCCCGGUGUAGCGGUGAAAUGCGUAGAGAUCGGGAGGAAUACCAGUGGCGAAGGCGGCCUUCUGGACUGACACUGACGCUGAGGUGCGAAAGCGUGGGUAGCAAACAGGAUUAGAUACCCUUGUAGUC
rnacentral:rRNA from 1 species